rnacentral:lncRNA from 1 species
CGCUCCGAGCUCCCCACCUUCUUUAUGGCGUAUGGCGGUUGUCGCUGAUCUGGCGGUCUGCGGAUUUCGGCGGACAUCCUUCCUUAAUGGCGUCGAUUCGCCUUUGGGGCGCGAACGAUCCUUCGGCAGCCAGGCGUCCUCUGGCGUCACCGAGGCGUCACCCGCCUUUCCGCCUAUUUAACCGGGGGCCCUCCCCCGUCCGCCU